rnacentral:ncRNA from 1 species
UCACAUUCAUUGAUGAAGAAAGUACUUCGAACGAUGUUCACAGCGAGUGGGGUAGGUGGAAGCCCGCAACGGAGUGAAGAAGGAAACGCCCUUCAGAGAAAAUGACUUGAAAGCAAGCCCGAUCCCCUUUUCGUCAAAAAGACCGGAAGGGACAAUUGCGAGUAGCGUCAUUCGGUUUAGCCCCGUUAGCGGUUCAAAAGGAUAAAAUAAUCAGAGCCCAUCUGUAUUGCUUUAUCGAAUUAGAGUGGUACCACGGAUGUUCGUCUCUAUU